rnacentral:rRNA from 1 species
UAAGGGAGCGUAGGCGGCUGAUUAAGUCAGCGGUGAAGGUAGCAGCUUAACUGUUUUACAUGCCGUUGAUACUGGUUAGCUUGAGUUGACAGAAGGCAGAUAGAAUUCCUGGUGUAGCGGUGAAAUGCUUAGAUACCAGGAGGAAUACCGAUUGCGAAGGCAGUCUGCUGCAGUCACACUGACGCUGAGGCUCGAAGGUGCGGGGAUCAAACAGGAUUAGAUACCCUUGU